rnacentral:rRNA from 1 species
AUGACUCCCGUCCUCGUUGUUUUCACCAUGCUCUUGUGCCUACACAACUCAGAAAGUUCUGCCGUGACAGACACCAUCUUGCUCGGCCAAGCACUUGGGGUUGACAACAAGCUCGUCUCCAGCAAUGGCAGGUACGCGCUUGGCAUCUUCCAGAUUGGACACACCGCCAACUGGUACCUUGGCAUAUGGUUUAACACGGUACCGAAAUUCAUUUCAGCAUGGGUAGCAAAUAGAGAUAAGCCAAUCAGGAACACUACCUCACUGGAGCUCAUGAUCUCCCACGAUGGCAACCUUGUCGUCGUAAAUCGGUCCACCAAGUCUGUGAUCUGGUCUACACAAGCAAACAUGAAAAGAAAUAGCACCACUGCUGCCAUGUUGUUGAGUAGUGGAAAUCUCAUGCUGACAGACUCUUCAAACUCAUCGGAGAUUCUGUGGCAGAGCUUUGAUCACCCCACAGAUACAUUUUUCCCUGGGGCAAAACUUGGAUGGGACAACUGUUGGAAUUUUAUCUACUUAUGGGCCAGUCCAAUAACAAUUUCAGAAAUUACUAAUAAAUCCUAG